rnacentral:rRNA from 1 species
CCUACGGGAGGCAGCAGUGGGGGAUAUUGCACAAUGGGGGAAACCCUGAUGCAGCGACGCCGCGUGGGUGAAGAAGCGCCUCGGCGCGUAAAGCCCUGUCAGCAGGGAAGAAAAUGACGGUACCUGAAGAAGAAGCCCCGGCUAACUACGUGCCAGCAGCCGCGGUAAUACGUAGGGGGCAAGCGUUACCCGGAUUUACUGGGUGUAAAGGGGGCGCAGACGGCGAGGCAAGCCAGGAGUGAAAGCCCGGGGCCCAACCCCGGGACUGCUCUGGGAACUGCGUGGCUAGAGUGCAGGAGGGGCAGGCGGAAUUCCUGGUGUAGCGGUGAAAUGCGUAGAUAUCAGGAGGAACACCGGUGGCGAAGGCGGCCUGCUGGACUGCAACUGACGUUGAGGCCCGAAAGCGUGGGGAGCAAACAGGAUUAGAUACCCUUGUAGUC